rnacentral:rRNA from 1 species
CUACGGGCGGCUGCAGUGGGGAAUAUUGCACAAUGGGCGCAAGCCUGAUGCAGCCAUGCCGCGUGUAUGAAGAAGGCCUUCGGGUUGUAAAGUACUUUCAGCGGGGAGGAAGGGAGUAAAGUUAAUACCUUUGCUCAUUGACGUUACCCGCAGAAGAAGCACCGGCUAACUCCGUGCCAGCAGCCGCGGUAAUACGGAGGGUGCAAGCGUUAAUCGGAAUUACUGGGCGUAAAGCGCACGCAGGCGGUUUGUUAAGUCAGAUGUGAAAUCCCCGGGCUCAACCUGGGAACUGCAUCUGAUUCUGGCAAGCUUGAGUCUCGUAGAGGGGGGUAGAAUUCCAGGUGUAGCGGUGAAAUGCGUAGAGAUCUGGAGGAAUACCGGUGGCGAAGGCGGCCCCCUGGACGAAGACUGACGCUCAGGUGCAAAAGCGUGGGGAGCAAACAGGAUUAGAUACCCUCGUAGUC